rnacentral:tRNA from 1 species
UAGCUCAGAUGGUAAAGCAUCUGCCUACAAUGCAGGAGACCCGGGUUCGAUCCCUGG